GGUCAGUGAUGUGAUGGCAUGUAUUAGCUGAACCCAAAGUUGAUGUAAGUCUAAAAUUACACUGAGACCUU
ensembl:snoRNA small nucleolar RNA, C/D box 45B